rnacentral:lncRNA from 1 species
AUGGAUCAGAAAAUUAAUUAAUCUAUAAUUAAAUAAAUAAAAAUACAAAUAUAUUAUUUUAAUAUUUGGUGUGAUGAAUGUCAUUUUUGAUGUUUUAUUAGAGAAGAAACUAAACUAAAUUUGGGUUUCAACAGGUGACCGUUCAAUUGAACGUAAAAAUAAAAGAUAAAUAAAAUAAUAAAUAAAAAUUCAAUUGAGUAAAUGAAUAAACAGAAAGGUCCAGGUUUGCAUGUUAAGUAGAAGAUAAUAUACAAACACAGAAUCUGUUAGACCAAAG